CAAUAGCGUAUAUUAAAGUUGUUGCAGUUAGAACGCUCGUAGUCGGAUUUCGGGGCGGGCCGACCGGUCUGCCGAUGGGUACGCACUGGUCGGCGCGUCCUUCCUUCCGGAGACCGUGCCUACUCUUAACUGAGCGGGGGCGGGAGACGGAUCGUUUACUUUGAAAAAAUCAGAGUGUUUCAAGCAGGCAGCCCGCUCUUGCAUGGAUUAGCAUGGGAUAAUGAAAUAGGACUUUGGUGCUAUUUUGUUGGUUUCGAACACCGAAGUAAUGAUUAAAAGGGACAGUCAGGGGCACUCGUAUUCCGCCGAGAGAGGUGAAAUUCUCAGACCAGCGGAAGACGAACCACUGCGAAAGCAUUUGCCAGGGAUGUUUUCACUGA
rnacentral:rRNA from 1 species